GACGAACCGUGCGAACGUUGUUCGGAAUAACUGGGCUUAAAGGGCGCGUAGGCGGGCCGCCAAGUCUGGAGUGAAAGCCCACGGCUCAACCGUGGAAGCGCUUCGGAUACUGGGGGCCUCGAGGGGGGUAGGGGCGCGCGGAACUUCCGGUGGAGCGGUGAAAUGCGUAGAUAUCGGAAGGAACACCGGUGGCGAAAGCGGCGCGCUGGACCCCCACUGACGCUGAGGCGCGAAAGCCAGGGGAGCAAACGGG
rnacentral:rRNA from 1 species